AUUGAACGCUGGCGGCAUGCUUUACACAUGCAAGUCGAACGGUAACAGGCCGCAAGGUGCUGACGAGUGGCGAACGGGUGAGUAAUGCAUCGGAACGUGCCCAGUCGUGGGGGAUAACUACUCGAAAGAGUAGCUAAUACCGCAUACGAUCUAUGGAUGAAAGCGGGGGACCGUAAGGCCUCGCGCGAUUGGAGCGGCCGAUGUCAGAUUAGGUAGUUGGUGGGGUAAAGGCUCACCAAGCCAACGAUCUGUAGCUGGUCUGAGAGGACAACCAGCCACACUGGGACUGAGACACGGCCCAGACUCCUACGGGAGGCAGCAGUGGGGAAUUUUGGACAAUGGGCGCAAGCCCGAUCCAGCAAUGCCGCGUGCAGGAAGAAGGCCUUCGGGUUGUGAACUGCCUUUGUACGGAACGAAACGGCUCUGGUUAAUACCCGGGGCUAAUGACGGUACCGUAAGAAUAAGCACCGGCUAACUACGUG
rnacentral:rRNA from 1 species